UACGUAGGUGGCGAGCGUUGUCCGGAUUUACUGGGCGUAAAGAGCGCGCAGGCGGUCGUACAAGUCGCGUGUGAAAGCCCCUGGCUCAACUGGGGAGGGUCACGCGAUACUGUUCGACUUGAAGGCUGGAGAGGGAAGUGGAAUUCCCGGUGUAGUGGUGAAAUGCGUAGAUAUCGGGAGGAACACCAAUGGCGAAGGCAGCUCGCUGGGACGGUACUGACGCUGAGACGCGAAAGCGUGGGGAGCAAACAGG
rnacentral:rRNA from 1 species